rnacentral:rRNA from 1 species
UGUGGACUUUUAAGAAGAGAGAAUGCCGGAAUGAGUAGCGAGAUGGAGGUGGGAAUCCUCCAGGCCGAAUAUCUAAGGUUUCCAGAGUAAAGCUGAUCUGCUCUGGGUAAGUCGGGGCCUAAGGCGAGGUCGAAAGACGUAGUCGAUGGAUAACAGGUUGAAAUUCCUGUACCGCAUGUAAUCAGAACUGUGGGGACACAGGACGAUAAUCAGACCCGGGAAUGAAAAGACCGGGGCAAGCGAAGUAGGUGUGCAGUUGGCAAAUCCGCUGCAUAAGCCAAAGGCGUGACGCGUACCGAACAAAAGUAGGGAAGCUGAUGAUUCGAACUGUCAAGAAAAGCCGCUAUCGUGUUACAUGUGCCCGUACCGUAAACCGACACAGGUGGAUGAGGAGAGAAUCCUAAGGCCGGCGGGAGAAGCAUUGUUAAGGAACUCGGCAAAAUGACCCCGUAACUUCGGGAGAAGGGGUGCCACAGAGAUGUGGCCGCAGAGAAAAGGCUCAAGCAACUGUUUAGCAAAAACACAGGUCUAUGCAAAACCGAAAGGUGAGGUAUAUGGGCUGACGCCUGCCCGGUGCUGGAAGGUUAAGAGGAGAGGUUAGCGCAAGCGAAGCUUUGAAUUUAAGCCCCAGUAAACGGCGGCCGUAACUAUAACGGUCCUAAGGUAGCGAAAUUCCUUGUCGGGUAAGUUCCGACCCGCACGAAAGGCGUAAUGAUUUGAGCGCUGUCUCGACAAUGCACCCGGUGAAAUUGAAGUACCAGUGAAGAUGCUGGUUACCUGCGCCAGGACGGAAAGACCCCAUGGAGCUUUACUCCAGUUUGAUACUGGGAUUCGGUUAUACAUGUACAGGAUAGGUGGGAGGCAGAGAAAUGAGGACGCCAGUCUUCAUGGAGCCGCUGUUGGGAUACCACCCUUGUGUGACUGGGUUUCUAACCUGCAUCCGUGAACCGGAUGGGGGACAAUGUCAGGCGGGGAGUUUGACUGGGGCGGUCGCCUCCGAAAGGGUAUCGGAGGCGCUCAAAGGUUCCCUCAGAAUGGUUGGAAACCAUUCGAAGAGUGCAAAGGCAGAAGGGAGCUUGACUGCGACACCGACGGGUGGAGCAGGUACGAAAGUAGGACUUAGUGAUCCGGUGGUAUUAAGUGGGAAUGCCAUCGCUCAACGGAUAAAAGCUACCCUGGGGAUAACAGGCUUAUCACUCCCAAGAGUUCACAUCGACGGAGUGGUUUGGCACCUCGAUGUCGGCUCAUCGCAUCCUGGGGCUGUAGUAGGUCCCAAGGGUUGGGCUGUUCGCCCAUUAAAGCGGUACGCGAGCUGGGUUCAGAACGUCGUGAGACAGUUCGGUCCCUAUCCGGCGUGGGCGUAGGAUAUUUGAGAGGAGCUGUCCUUAGUACGAGAGGACCGGGAUGGACUGACCUCUGGUGUAUCGGUUGAGUAUCAAACUCAUGGCCGAGUAGCCAAGUCGGGAAGGGAUAAACGCUGAAGGCAUCUAAGCGUGAAGCCCCCCUCAAGAUGAGAUAUCCCAUUCGAAAGAAGUAAGACCCCUUGAAGACGACGAGGUAGAUAGGGCAGAGGUGGAAGUGUGGUAACACAUGGAGCUGACUGUUACUAAUCGGUCGAGGGCUUAACCAA